rnacentral:rRNA from 1 species
UGGGGAAUAUUGGGCAAUGGGGGGAACCCUGAUCCAGCCAUGCCGCGUGUGUGAAGAAGGCCUUUUGGUUGUAAAGCACUUUAAGCGAGGAGGAGGCUACUCUAGUUAAUACCUAGGGAUAGUGGACGUUACUCGCAGAAUAAGCACCGGCUAACUCUGUGCCAGCAGCCGCGGUAAUACAGAGGGUGCGAGCGUUAAUCGGAUUUACUGGGCGUAAAGCGUGCGUAGGCGGCUUUUUAAGUCGGAUGUGAAAUCCCUGAGCUUAACUUAGGAAUUGCAUUCGAUACUGGGAAGCUAGAGUAUGGGAGAGGAUGGUAGAAUUCCAGGUGUAGCGGUGAAAUGCGUAGAGAUCUGGAGGAAUACCGAUGGCGAAGGCAGCCAUCUGGCCUAAUACUGACGCUGAGGGACGAAAGCAUGGGGAGCAAACAG